AAGAGUUAAGAAAAACUCCAAACCCAUGUGAACAUACCUAUUCGUUGCCUCGGCGUGGUUCGUACAUCCUAUAAGGAUGUAUUAUACAGCCCGCCGGUGGCCCCUAAAACUCUGUUUAUUUGGUUAUCUGAGUGUUUUACUUGAAAUAAGUCA
rnacentral:misc_RNA from 1 species